CUUUCCUGCUUCCUCACCCGCUGUAGCAAGCAGGUGUGGAGUCGAGUCGGAGGCAGGCGCUGGCUGCGUGGACCCCCGGGUGGGAUUCCACCCGCGACAAGGCACCCAGGCCCUUUGGGCGGGGCUCCCCUGGGGUCCGCGUCCCCGCCGCCUCCCCCGGGCCUCUGCUGGGCUGGCUGGAGGCAGGAGGCCCCGGUUAGCAGGGCCAGCAUCCUGAGCCCCACCUGCAGGCCCUGGGCGCUUUCCUCCUGGCAGCUGUGCCCCCACCCGACCGGACCGCUCCCUGCAACCAGAGAGCCCUCACACCAGCAACACCCCCCAGCCUGCUCCCUCCUCGUGUGCGCGAAACUCAUGGCACUGGCUUGACGGCUUUCUCUGAAACCCUCUGAUUCCGCCUGGCCCAUCCACACUGUCCCUUCCCGGCCAGGGCUCAUCUCCUAUGCCUGGACCAAACAGCGUAGUCUCCAGUCUCCCUGAUCUCCCCACACGUGGCCCCACCCAUCCUCUGAAGCAGCCCCAGGAGGCAGCAGUGACUUCACACUUCUAGUGCCCGGCCCUCCCGGCCCUCCUCUCUGGGCUUGCUUGCCAGGGUCCUCCCAACCUGACUGCUGCCUCCCACCUCCUCUCCGCCCCUGGAGCUCUCCAGCCGCAGCCGCGGGGCCUGCUUGGGAUUCUCCUCUGCUGGCAUCAUCCCUGCCUGCCUCAGCCUUCCCAGGCCCAAUCCUGCCCGAUCUCACCUCUUCCCGCCCAGCCACCUGGUCGGGUCCCGACCAGCAUCUGCCUUCAAACCUGGAGUCCUUCCCUGAGUGCUUGCGGUGCACUGUGAGGAAGGAAAUCAAUGUAAAGGAUUAUGACCCACAUUUUUUAAAAAUAAAAAGAUUAAGGAGAACAGCAUAGAGUAGAAGUGGUCAUCGCACACUUCUGCAAAACUUUUGUUUCUCAGGUGGAUGGAGGAG
rnacentral:lncRNA from 1 species